rnacentral:rRNA from 1 species
AGGUCCCGCCUGCCCAGUGAUCUUAUUUUAACGGCCGCGGUAUCCUAACCGUGCAAAGGUAGCGUAAUCAUUUGUCUCCCAAAUAGAGACUUGUAUGAACGGCUAACUGAGGGCCUAACUGUCUCCUAGGGCUAAUCAAUGAAACUGAUCUUCCAGUACAAAAGCUGAAAUAAACACAUAAGACGAGAAGACCCUGUGGAGCUUUAAACUAAUCCUAUAAAAACAUUUUCCACUAAGGAACAUAUACCUCACCCACUGUAAAUCAAUAGCAAAAGUUUUUAGUUGGGGCGACUUUGGAACAAAACAAAACUUCCAUGCCAGGGACCCCAUCCCUAUUAAGGCCUACAUGCCAAAAUAUAAAUUUUUUUGACCCAGCAUGCCUGAUCAACGAACCAAGUUACCCCAGGGAUAACAGCGCAAUCCUCUUCAAGAGUCCCUAUCGACAAGGGGGUUUACGACCUCGAUGUUGGAUCAGGACACCCCGGUGGUGCAACCGCUACCAAAGGUUCGUUUGUUCAACGAUUAAUAGUCCUACGUGAUCUGAGUCA